AAUAAAUGAAAAGCUUGAAUUUCAGCAUCAUGAGCUACCUCUGGCGUGUCACUGCUGGAUCCACAAACCCAACUACACCUUCUGUAAAAGGCUCAUUCACACAAAUGCAAAAAACAAUAAAAUUUUAGGUCUUAAAAUUAAAAAAUGUUAACAAAUGAUUUACUGAUUCAUUCUUGCAGGCACGCCUCAGCAGGUUUCAUUAGUUAUGGUUGUGGCUUGUGGAGACGAGACUGUGAGAAGGAUUAAGUGCCGAGGUCUUUUUCAGGUCAGCGUGUUGCUUUCUUUUACAAAAGUGGGACAGAGACUGCAACAGGCACCUCUGGAAAAUCACAAGACUGCCAGACUGAUGACUGAGACUCAGCUCAGAUUUCCAGGAACCAUUGCAGCAACCAUGUUUAGCCCAACGGCAUCAAAACAGAUGAUCACGUUAGGAGCCGACAGUGCAAAUAGUCAGAUGAAGGUUCACUUCUGAGAUCCUCUGUGCAUAAUCCAGUCACCAGUUGGCGCUCCACAGCAAAAAAAGAACAAUGACAUGAAAAAAGCAAAAAGAAGACUGGAGCACCCAAAGUGACAAAAUAUUUAACAAGUGCCAGCACACAAAAAGACUAACGUUUCAACACCCGCUUGUCAUGUUCCUGGGCAGAGGUGAGUCACACCAUCUCCUCUCACCGGACUCUGAGCUAAUUCUCCACAGGUGAGGAGCAGGGGGAGCGGCAGCUGCAGGAGAUUUCCCAAUCAGGGACGCGGGUUCAAAAGGAGGAUGGAGACACAUCACUUUGCCGGAUGAUUGCACCAAUUUAGGAUCCUCUCCUCAUCUACUCACCUUCGCUGUCUUCGUUCCCUGUAUAAUACACAUCGCGUCCCAUCCUCCUUCGCUGCUCCUAAUUGGCUUCCCUCUGCUACCUCGCCUCUCCUGGACUUCUCACCCUCUGCCCAGCGUCCUUCCUGGCUUCCUCUCAUCUCAUCAACCUGAGCACUUCAGAGACUCGAGCCGUAUUGCUCAUCCCACAGGACUUCCCUGUGCGGUUUCAGUUCCCGUUUUUAUAAUAAACAUUUUACUUUACUGCUUUGGACUAAGUGUGUUGAUUCUGCAUGUCUUGGGUUAGGCACUUACCUCGAGUCAUGACACCGCUUGUGUCUUCUUCAGAUGUUACUGACAAAGACACGGUGUUCUUUUUGCUUUUUUCAAGUCAGAUGAAGGUUAUUUGUAGGUUUGAGAAAUCUGUGACAUGGAUGAAGCUGUUUAAACAGUCAGCUCCUCCAAGAUCUAAGAUAAUUUAUGUCCACAAAGCAGGAGUGACUUUAAGGUUUUUGUUUUGUAAUUUCACUGAAGGUCAUGUUGGGGUCAUCUUGGGUUCUGGAGAGCUGAACUUGUGCUUGAAAAGCAAAUGAAAACACUUGUUUUACAGGAAUAGACCAGAAAAACCUGGCGGUGCAGCGUUGGGCUGCAGUCACACCUGCACAAAUAAAUGAGACAUAAGAGCUCUCAGAAGAAGGCUUGUACUGAACUCCCACCACAGAGUUCAGUACCAGGAGUUCACAAACAAACAGCAAAACAGGUGAAGUAACUCAAGUACGAACCAAAUAGUUAAUGGAAGUAUUUCAAGUAACUGUUUGGUUGUUUGUCUGAAAGUUGUUGAAAAAUGAAAAAAGUAUCACAGCGACCAGCAUCCUGGCAUGCGAUCCAUGAUGCAAUGCUCCCUGUCUCAAUUUGGCACUUCAUUGCACACUUGUGUACCAUGCACAUGAAACCUUACAGACCAUGUACUUAUUUGUAACAAGCGAUUACAAAACUUUUGCCAUUCAUAAAUGUUGUUUUACACAUUAAACCUCUUCACUCGUUGCCUGUGAGGAAGGAGAGUCUGACGUGCUUGUCAUUUUGCUGGAGGUUGAGUGGAUUAUGUGGCAGACCAGGUGAAAUGAGCCCUGUAACUGUAAACUGGCAUUUGAUGGAUGCCUAACUUUAAUAAACCACUCACAUCAUAAUGGAGCCUAAGAACGAAACCAGUCCAUGGCACAAACACCUGAAUAAGAAACACACACACACAAAAAUAAAUCACUCACUCUAAUAUUUUGUUGGACUGCCUUUAGCUUUGAUUAUGGCAAGCAUUAGCUGUGUUGUUUUUUUGAUAAGCUUCGGCAACAUCGUCAGAUUUGUUUCCAUCCAGUGUUGCAUUAAUGUCUCACCAAGAUCUUGUAUUGAUGAUGGUAGUCUGACCGCUGCACAAAGCCUUCUCCAGCACAUCCCAAAAAGUCUCAAUGGGGUGGAGGUCUGGACUCUGUGGUGGCCAAUCCAUGUGUGAAAAUGAUGUCUCAUGCUCCCUGAACCACUCGUUCACUAUUUGAUCCUGAUGAAUCCUGGCAUCGUCAUCCUGGAAUAUGGCCCUGCCAUCAGGAAGAUGGAAUAACCUGAUCAAUCAGGAUAUUCAGGUAGUCAGCUGACCUCAUUCUUGGAGCACAUCCUGUUGCUGAACCUAGACCUGACCACCUGCAGCAAGCCCAGAUCAUAGCACUGCCCCCACAGGCUUGUAGAGUAGGCACUAGGCAUGAUGGGUGCAUCACUUCAUCUGCCUCUCUUCUUACCCUGAUGCACCAUCACUCUGGAACUCAUCAGACCACACAACCUUCUUCCAAUUCUCCAGAGUGAAAUAUUUAUGCUCCCUAGCAAACUGAAGGCUUUUCUUCCUGGUUUGCCUCACUGAUUAGUGGUUUUCUCAUGGCUACACAGCUGUUCAGUCCCAAUCCCUUGAGUUCCCAUUUCACGGUGUGUGAAAAUGCUCUUACGUUCCCUAUUAAACAGCCCUGAGUUC